rnacentral:other from 1 species
AAUUUCCUGAGAUGUUCGCUAGCGGAUUACGUCCCUGAGCCGAUACUAAAAAUAGAUUGAAUUGGUUCUGUAUUGUUGGUGAGCAAGCUUAGCCAGACUAAGAAGCCUAAAAACGAUAAUAACUGAUUCCCUUGGACUUUCGGGUUCAAGGACCGAACAUCCGCAACGGCAUCUCGGGUUCCUU